GUUCAGGGGUAAACCUGAGAAACCCGAAAGAUCGAAUGGAGAGAUUCAUCGUCAGCGAUUUUGGUACGUGUGCGGUUCGGGAUGGCGGUGACUUCGGUCAGUCGACACUCGUCUGCAUGUUUAUUAUUGCCUGAAUCGUCGGCGUGCACUUCUCCCCUAGUAGGACGUCGCGACCCGUUGGGUGUCGGUCUACGGCUCGGAUGGUAGCCUGUCUCGCGUGCGUCUCACGGCGUUUCGCGGGACAGACCUCCCAUCGCCCGACCGGCUGCUCGGCGGUACUCGCACGGUAUCUGGCCGCAAAUAUUUGAACUGCGUCCGGCCCGUCGCAAGCGAGGCAAGUGUUUCCCGGCUGUACGGAUUUAAUGCCGUCGCCGGGCCUUGACAGCUGUUGGUUGACGGUGUCCUGGGACUGGUCACCAAAAUUAUGAUACCGGUCGGCGACGCUACUGCUUUGGGUACUUUCAGGACCCGUCUUGAAACACGGACCAAGGAGUCUAACAUGUGCGCGAGUCAUUGGGAACUAUUAAACCUAAAGGCGCAAUGAAAGUGAAGGUCGGCCUUGCGCCGACCGAGGGAGGAUGGGCCGCGUCACGAUGCGGUCUCGCACUCCCGGGGCGUCUCGUUCUCAUUGCGAGAAGAGGCGCACCCAGAGCGUACACGUUGGGACCCGAAAGAUGGUGAACUAUGCCUGGUCAGGACGAAGUCAGGGGAAACCCUGAUGGAGGUCCGUAGCGAUUCUGACGUGCAAAUCGAUCGUCGGAACUGGGUAUAGGGGCGAAAGACUAAUCG
rnacentral:rRNA from 1 species